GGAGUCUAACAUCCCGCUGAAUUUAAGCAUAUAAGUAAGCGGGGGAAAAGGAACUAAAUAGGAUUCCCUCAGUAAUGGCGAAUGAACAGGGAUGAGCUCAGGCUGGAAACCGAUACAUCUGUGUCGGGCUGUAGCCUGCAGGCAUAGCGCUAUCGGCGGCUCGAGCGCAAGCCUCUUGGAAUAGAGCGUGUGCCCGGGUGAGAAUCCUGCAUUUCGCUCGAUGUCCGCUGUCCACAGUGCUUGUCCUGAGAGUCACGCUCCUCGGAAUUGGAGCGUAAAUCAGGUGGUAAGUUUCAUCCAAAGCUAAAUAGAAGCUCGAGACCAAUAGCAAACAAGUACCAUGAGGGAAAGAUGAAAAGGACUUUGGAAAGAGAGUUAAAAGUGUUUGAAAUUGCUGAGAGCGAAGCGAACGGAGCCACAUGUCGUGCUGAGAUUGCUGUGGGUCUUUGUGAGCCUUGAGCAUGUAAGCGCAAGCUGACUGCUUAUGUGUGAGCAUUUACCCGCAGUGUUUCUCAGCAUGCGAGUCAUUAGCCACAUUUGUUUGAGGAUGGCCUUCAGCUCACAUGGUACACUUGUUA
rnacentral:rRNA from 1 species